rnacentral:rRNA from 1 species
CCUACGGGAGGCAGCAGUCGAGAAUCAUUCACAAUGGGGGAAACCCUGAUGGUGCGACGCCGCGUGGGGGAAUGAAGGUCUUCGGAUUGUAAACCCCUGUCAUGUGGGAGCAAAUUAAAAAGAUAGUACCACAAGAGGAAGAGACGGCUAACUCUGUGCCAGCAGCCGCGGUAAUACAGAGGUCUCAAGCGUUGUUCGGAAUCACUGGGCGUAAGGCGUGCGUAGGCUGUUUCGUAAGUCGUGUGUGAAAGGCGCGGGCUCAACCGGCGGACGGCACAUGAUACUGCGAGACUAGAGUAAUGGAGGGGGAACCGGAAUUCUCGGUGUAGCAGUGAAAUGCGUAGAUAUCGAGAGGAACACUCGUGGCGAAGGCGGGUUCCUGGACAUUAACUGACGCUGAGGCACGAAGGCCAGGGGAGCGAAAGGGAUUAGAUACCCGAGUAGUC